rnacentral:rRNA from 1 species
GGUACGCACUACUGUCGGCCGGCUCGCGUGCCGGUUUUCCCGUCGUGGCCUUCGCCGGUCGCGGCGGGUGGCUGGCGAGUUUACUUUGAGAAAAUCAGAGUGCUCAACACAGGCGUCUAGCUUGAAUGAUUGUGCAUGGAAUAAUGGAAAAGGAUCACGGUCCUCUUUUAUUGGUUUUGUGGACUGAGAUAAUGGUUAACAGGGACAAACGGGGGCAUUCGUAUCGCUGCGUGAGAGGUGAAAUUCUUGGACCGUAGCGAGACGCCCGACUGCGAAAGCAUUUGCCAAGAAUGUCUUCAUUAAUCAAGAACGAAAGUCAGAGGUUCGAAGGCGAUCAGAUACCGCCCUAGUUCUGACCGUAAACGAUGCCAACUAGCGAUUCGCCGGUGGAUUUCACGCCCUGGUGAGUAGCUUCCCGGAAACGAAAGUCUUCCGGUUCCGGGGGAAGUAUGGUUGCAAAGCUGAAACUUAAAGGAAUUGACGGAAGGGCACCACCAGGAGUGGAGCCUGCGGCUUAAUUUGACUCAACACGGGGAAACUCACCCGGCCCGGACACCGUGAGGAUUGACAGAUUGAGAGCUCUUUCAUGAUUCGGUGGUUGGUGGUGCAUGGGCCGUUCUUAGUUCGUGGAUCGAUUUGUCUGGUUUAUUCCGAUAACGAGCGAGACUCUAGCCUACUAAAUAGCCGCGAUAUUACUUUAACUGUGUCGCGCGCUUCUUAGAGGGAUUCGCGG